rnacentral:tRNA from 1 species
GCUCAUAUAGCUCAGUAGGUAGAGCACUUCCUUGGUAAGGAAGAGGUCACCGGUUCAAAUGCGGUUUUGAGCUCCA